rnacentral:rRNA from 1 species
GCCGUAGGUGAACCUGCGGCGGGAUCAUUACUGAGUUUACGCUCUACAACCCUUUGUGAACAUACCUACAACUGUUGCUUCGGCGGGUAGGGUCUCCGCGACCCUCCCGGCCUCCCGCCUCCGGGCGGGUCGGCGCCCGCCGGAGGAUAACCAAACUCUGAUUUAACGACGUUUCUUCUGAGUGGUACAAGCAAAUAAUCAAAACUUUUAACAACGGAUCUCUUGGUUCUGGCAUCGAUGAAGAACGCAGCGAAAUGCGAUAAGUAAUGUGAAUUGCAGAAUUCAGUGAAUCAUCGAAUCUUUGAACGCACAUUGCGCCCGCCAGCAUUCUGGCGGGCAUGCCUGUUCGAGCGUCAUUUCAACCCUCAAGCUCUGCUUGGUGUUGGGGCCCUACAGCCGAUGUAGGCCCUCAAAGGUAGUGGCGGACCCUCCCGGAGCCUCCUUUGCGUAGUAACUUUACGUCUCGCACUGGGAUCCGGAGGGACUCUUGCCGUAAAACCCCCCAAUUUUCCAAAGGUUGACCUCGGAUCAGGUAGGAAUACCCGCUGAACUUAAGCAUAUCAAUAAGCGGAGGC